CUCUAUUGUCUUUUCGUAACAAGUGCGAGUCUUCUCUUCCCCCAAAGCGCAUCGUCUCAUCUCUUCGAGCUGACGUAGAGCGGAGCCCUAAUCACGAGCUCGUUCGAAUCUCUCUUUCAUUCGCUACUGAGCCUUAAUCUACACACUCCUCAAGCUUUAAUUUCAAGAUCGUCGAAUCACGAGAGAUGCAGAAAGAUGCGAGGGUCUCGCAGAUCGAACCAGGAACGCGCCAAGAUGAGCGCAUAUCGAAGGAGCACUUAAAAUCAAAGCAGAAAGUAAAAGGAAGUUCCGAGGUAUUACCUUGACCUUUAAAGUUAACUACUAUUUUUCCCAUCUCUUUUUAUGAUGCUUCUCUGAGCACAUGUAACAGUAGUUCUCAAAAUCAAAGCAAAAAGUCGAAGGAAAUCUGAGGUAUUAUCUUGAACUUCUUUAAAAAUUAACUAUUAGUAGCUGGGUGUUUUGUUAUUGUUCUUAUAGCUCAAUGCUUUAUUUUGAUCUAUUGAGUAUUUUCUGAGGAAAACCCUGACCAAGUAGUUGCUGUAAUUAUACUCCAGGACAUUUUUCAAAUUAUGAUAGUUAUUGUGCCAAGAGAUGAUGAGAUCGCUCAGUGUAUAGUGAUGGUAUGCUUUCUGGAAUAAUUUGAGGACUGGGAAGAUGCAAAAUAAUUUUCUUCGACUUUUCAUAUGAUGUUACUAAAAGUUUUCAAAAAAUCAGUUACAAUUUUCAUGGAUACAUGCAAUCACUGGUAUAAAUUUUCUAUGACCUUAUUUGCAAACAUUUUUUUCUGGAAAACCCAAUAGCCAUUAUUUAUGUUACGAAUUAAAAUCUGAGAUACUUAUUUUGAAAUAACAGGAAUAAUUCCUACUAUGUUUUCUUUUGUUGCUCCUUUCUUCCCGUGUUUGCUCUCGAGUGAAUUGCUAUAGCACUUAACCAUACAGUUAUACAGAAAAACUCCAUAGUUGUUCUUUCAUCUUAUGCAAACAUAUACCAGCUGAUAAAUCUAUGGACAUGGCCCUUUAUUGUUAGAAUUAGUGAUACUUAUCAUAAGAACCAACCUUUCCAAAACAUUUGAGGUCCAAGUUAUUUAGAAUACGAAGGCUUUCCUCGUUGGGGGUGUUAUGGAAGGUUCUUUUGUAGUUAACUGUCAUCUAGAGAUUGAAAUGUAAUUCCUCUGCAAUAUUUGAGUAACUUUUACAUUUUCCAGGUUGUCAUUGCUUUUAGGUUUAUAUAGCGUUUUGUUUUGUAUGAUAAACAUAUUCUGCAGUGUUAGGGUUUAGGAUUGAGUUUGGAGGUUGAUUCAUGACCAAUGUUACUAAAAAUUUGACAAUUAACAGAAUAGCUCCUUCUUGAUUAGAUAAAUUAAUUGCAUCUUGGUUGAUAUCUCUGGUUUUAGGGCCCUAUGUUCAGUAUAUUCCAGGGAAAAAAAAGGGUGGCCUAGAUUUUUGCUAUGUUGUCUAUUCGUCAUCCAUGCAUGUCUUUGAUGGAGUUUUGUUUCUUUUUUUAUUUCAUUUCGUCAUCUUUUUAAUUUUGUUAUUCAGCAAGGCUAUUUAUCUUAAAUGUAAUAAAGUGGUCUGGUCUAACUACUCUUAAGAGUGUGUAGAUAUUUUAAAGUGGCGGAAAGCCCAUUCUCUGUACUUUAAUUGAAGCCCAAUUUAGUAAGUUUUUGCCUUUUUGGCCCGUUUAAUUGGGCCGAAAGGCCAUAUAUUUUU